UACGUAGGUGGCAAGCGUUAUCCGGAAUUAUUGGGCGUAAAGCGCGCGCAGGCGGUUUCUUAAGUCUGAUGUGAAAGCCCACGGCUCAACCGUGGAGGGUCAUUGGAAACUGGGGAACUUGAGUGCAGAAGAGAAAAGCGGAAUUCCACGUGUAGCGGAUGAAAUGCGUAGAGAUGUGGAGGAACACCAGUGGCGAAGGCGGCUUUUUGGUCUGUAACUGACGCUGAGGCGCGAAAGCGUGGGGAGCGAACAGG
rnacentral:rRNA from 1 species